CUGGCGGCGUGCUUAAUACAUGCAAGUCGAACGAAGCACCUGCGACGGAUCCCUUCGGGGUGAAGAUGCUUGUGACUGAGUGGCGGACGGGUGAGUAACGCGUGGGUAACCUGCCUUAUGCAGGGGGACAACAGUUAGAAAUGACUGCUAAUACCGCAUAAGCGCACGAGACCGCAUGGUCAAGUGUGAAAAGAUUUAUCGGCAUAAGAUGGACCCGCGUCUGAUUAGGUAGUUGGUGAGGUAACGGCCCACCAAGCCGACGAUCAGUAGCCGACUUGAGAGAGUGAUCGGCCACAUUGGGACUGAGACACGGCCCAGACUCCUACGGGAGGCAGCAGUAGGGAAUAUUGCACAAUGGGGGAAACCCUGAUGCCAGCGACGCCGCGUGAGUGAUUGAAGUAUUUCGGUACGUAAAGCUCUAUCAGCAGGGAAGAUAAUGACGGUACCUGACUAAGAAGCCCCGGCUAACUACGUGCCAGCCGCGGC
rnacentral:rRNA from 1 species